CAGUCGCCAGGGAAUACGGAGGGUGCAAGCGUUAAUCGGAAUUACUGGGCGUAAAGCGCACGCAGGCGGUUUGUUAAGUCAGAUGUGAAAUCCCCGGGCUCAACCUGGGAACUGCAUCUGAUACUGGCAAGCUUGAGUCUCGUAGAGGGGGGUAGAAUUCCAGGUGUAGCGGUGAAAUGCGUAGAGAUCUGGAGGAAUACCGGUGGCGAAGGCGGCCCCCUGGACGAAGACUGACGCUCAGGUGCGAAAGCGUGGGGAGCAAACAGGAUUAGAUACCCGCGUAGUCCCUGUCUCUUAUACC
rnacentral:rRNA from 1 species